rnacentral:rRNA from 1 species
UCUUAGUUCGUGGAGUGAUCUGUCUGCUUAAUUGCGUUUCACUAAGGGCCCAUAAAUUCAAGGUAUGUUAGCAAAUGCUGCUCUAUUGACCCCUAAUAGGCUUAACUGUCUUUAGCGCGUGUCUCUACGAGUUCUUUAAAGCACUGCGCAUGCUGUUGGGUCCUGAAAGCAACGAACGUGACCGCAACGUCUUGUUGCCUCUCUAUAAUACCUUCUUAUUUUUAAUAAGAGUAUUUACCUGAGGCUAUUUUAAAACUAGACGGACCGCUGUUUCUUUCUUAAACCANANGAAGGUUGCGGCAAUAACAGGUCUGUGAUGCCCUUAGAUGUUCCGG